rnacentral:rRNA from 1 species
AGUGAACGCUGGUGGUAGGCCUAACACAUGCAAGUCGAACGGCAGCACAGUAAGAGCUUGCUCUUACGGGUGGCGAGUGGCGGACGGGUGAGGAAUACAUCGGAAUCUACUUUUUCGUGGGGGAUAACGUAGGGAAACUUACGCUAAUACCGCAUACGACCUACGGGUGAAAGCAGGGGAUCUUCGGACCUUGCGCGAUUGAAUGAGCCGAUGUCGGAUUAGCUAGUUGGCGGGGUAAAGGCCCACCAAGGCGACGAUCCGUAGCUGGUCUGAGAGGAUGAUCAGCCACACUGGAACUGGGACACGGUCCAGACUCCUACGGGAGGCAGCAGUGGGGAAUAUUGGACAAUGGGCGCAAGCCUGAUCCAGCCAUACCGCGUGGGUGAAGAAGGCCUUCGGGUUGUAAAGCCCUUUUGUUGGGAAAGAAAAGCAGCAGGUUAAUACCCCGCUGUUCUGACGGUACCCAAAGAAUAAGCACCGGCUAACUUCGUG